UGCCAGCCGCCGCGGUAAUACGGAGGGAGCUAGCGUUGUUCGGAAUUACUGGGCGUAAAGCGUACGUAGGCGGAUCAGAAAGUAUAGGGUGAAAUCCCGGGGCUCAACCCCGGAACUGCCUUGUAAACUCCUGGUCUUGAGUUCGAGAGAGGUGAGUGGAAUUCCGAGUGUAGAGGUGAAAUUCGUAGAUAUUCGGGGGAACACCAGUGGCGAAGGCGGCUAACUGGCUCGGUACUGACGCUGAGAUGCGAAAGCGUGGGGAGCAAACAGGAUUAGAUA
rnacentral:rRNA from 1 species